AUGUUCAACAUACAGUUUGAGGUUUUUCCAAAAUGAUCCAAUCGCCUGCAGAAAGUUCCAGCCUUCCCCAAGCUAAGAAAUCAAGACGCGUCUUAGCUGGUUUUGUGACUCAUUGGGUUUUGAAGUAAUGUUUCAGCUUGGCCGUCUGUUUUGAUGUCGGUGAGGCUUUCAGUCUGGCUGAUUCAGCGGAUUUCAGCCGUGGAAGGCAGGAAACUAAUAGACACGUUCUAAAUUUGCCUUCUGCCGCUUCUUCCACUCAACUUUCUCCGCUGAUGACCUCUGAGUUUCAACGCCACUGACUCAGACCUCUGCAGAGCAGGGUUAGGGUUACGACCCGCAGCAUGUUGGCUCAGCAAGAAAAACCUUCCACCGACCUCUCUGUUUGGGAAGCGGCCUCCCACUUCCAAAACAAAGGCAUUUCUAUCGUUUCUGUCGUUUCUAUCUCCUCGUCUCCAAGGUGUUAGCAUGUCUCUCCAGUCACAGGGUUGCAGCAACCCUUCACUCUUUGCUUUCCUUCCUUUAUUCCCCCUGCUUGCUUUUGCUUGGACAAAGCUGUUGCCUCGCCGCUCCACGGUUCACCCCAACAGAGUGCACGCCCCCCACCACACACACACACACACACAUAUUCACUUGGUGUCAGUGAGUCAAACAGGUGAGGUGACAGACGGAGAUGAAUCUGAAAGCUAAAAAGGUCUCUGAGAGGCUAUUUGUGACUGUGCAUGCUUGAGCGACCCGGUGUGUGCGUUCUGCAGCUGAAGGGAUUCCCAUAGCGGCGGGUAAAAAUAUAGGUCAUGUUGUGAAAACACGCACGGCGUCUGCUUGAAUACGAUUCAAUUUUCGACACGUUUGAAAGGCAAGUAUGUGGUGUGCACCAGAAAGUUGACUUUUUCCCUUCAAUGUCCCGGAAUGCAGCUCUGAGAGAUUGCAUGCAGAUGACCUGCAGCGCUGCCAUUGGCUACAGCGGGCAGGUCGCUCCCAGUUUCACACGCACUCCCACUUUUGUGUAGCAAAGCGCCUGCGGGACAAAAGGCGAGGGGAGGAUAAAGCGCAAGAAGUGAGAGGAGAUUUACAGGAGGAGCAACGCCUUCCUUGGCUCGUCAUCUGAUUGGAUUCCACUGACUUGCUGUCAGACCAGACCAUGAGUUCAUUUGAUAGCUGUAGUUCGCCGCUGCCGCCAGUGGAUGGCGCAGAAGAGCUCCUUUAGAGACGAACCAGCAGAGGGGGAAAAGUGAAGCUUGAGGAACAGCAAUGUGGAGUAAUAAGUUAAAUGGGGUCGUUUUCUCAAUUUUUAGUUGAUUGUUUGCCCCUUUAUUUAUUUAUUUUUUGUCUUGAAGAGAAACUUACAGGGAUUUUAUUUGUUUGGAAAUGAGCAAACGUGCUCCCUCUCUCUUAUUAGAGUCCAUCAUUAGCAAACACAACAAUAAAUGUCACAUGCAUCAGAUUCUGAAUCCUCAGUUUUUUGCUUUUUUGCUGUGUGCUGCAAUGUUUGCAGGUUUAUUUUGGGC